GUCGAGCGGUAACAUGGACUUCGGUCUGAUGACGAGCGGCGGACGGCUGAGUAACGCGCGGGAACAUGCCCCAAAGUGAGGAAUAAGCUCCAGAAAUGGAGUCUAAUGCCGCAUAUGAUCUUCGGAUUAAAGGAUUUAUCCGCUUUGGGAGUGGCCUGCGUAUGAUUAGAUAGUUGGUGAGGUAAUGGCUCACCAAGUCUACGAUCAUUAACUGGUCUGAGAGGAUGAUCAGUCAGACUGGAACUGAGACACGGUCCAGACUCCUACGGGAGGCAGCAGUGAGGAAUCUUCCACAAUGGGCGAAAGCCUGAUGGAGCGACGCCGCGUGCAGGAUGAAGGCCUUCGGGUUGUAAACUGCUUUUAUAAGUGAAGAAUAUGACGGUAACUUAUGAAUAAGCACCGGCUAACUACGUGCCAGCAGCCGCGGUCAUACGUAGGGUGCAAGCAUUAUCCGGAGUGACUGGGCGUAAAGAGUUGCGUAGGUGGUUUGUUAAGCGAAUAGUGAAAUCUAACGGCUCAACCGUUUAGACUAUUAUUCGAACUGGCAAACUCGAGAAUGGUAGAGGUAACUGGAAUUUCUAGUGUAGGAGUGAAAUCCGUAGAUAUUAGAAGGAACACCAAUGGCGUAGGCAGGUUACUGGACCAUUUCUGACACUGAGGCACGAAAGCGUGGGGAGCGAACCGGACUAGAUACCCGGGUAGUCCACGCCGUAAACGAUGGAUACUAGCUGUUGGGGGUAUCGACCCCCCCAGUAGCGAAGCUAACGCGU
rnacentral:rRNA from 1 species